AGAACGAACGCUGGCGGCAUGCCUAACACAUGCAAGUCGAACGCGUGUAGCGAUACACGAGUGGCGGACGGGUGAGUAACGCGUGGGAACCUGCCCUGGAGUGUGGGAUAACCGAGGGAAACUUCGGCUAAUACCGCAUACGACCUGAGGGUGAAAGAUUUAUCGCUCUAGGAGGGGCCCGCGUCGGAUUAGCUAGUUGGUGGGGUAAAGGCCUACCAAGGCAGUGAUCCGUAGCUGGUCUGAGAGGAUGAUCAGCCACACUGGGACUGAGACACGGCCCAGACUCCUACGGGAGGCAGCAGUGGGGAAUAUUGGACAAUGGGGGGCAACCCUGAUCCAGCAAUGCCGCGUGAGUGAUGAAGGCCUUAGGGUUGUAAAGCUCUUUUGGCGGGGACGAUGAUGACGGUACCGCAGAGAAGCCCGGCUAACUCGCGCCAGCAGCCGC
rnacentral:rRNA from 1 species